GGAACCUAGCUGGAACUUCCACUAGGGGGAGGGUUUCAGUUCUACUCCCUUGAUCUUCACACAGCAGUGAUUCUUUUGGUCCAUUGGGCACCUGUGGUUUAUUUGCACAAACUACAGUACGAAUGGCCUGCAGACCUCCAGCACAAUGACAGGCAGUGUUGCAAUAGGCUACUACAAUCCAGGAACUGGACUUGAAUCCCACACAAGUCACCAUUUUCAUGGCUCACAUUUGGACUUGAACUUGCUAAGUGCCUUAGAUAUGGCGUAUCAGCCAGACUCAAUUAGGUUUCUAAUAUAGCUAAUUGUAUAAAUGGAUACGUUAUAUCAAAAAGCGGUUAAAACUAAACUACUACAGCGCAAUGAAUCGUAUUGACUGAUGCGUAGUAAAUAUAUUUAGCCUAUUUAAAUAUAUAGGCCUACCAUUUACUACGCAUCAGCGUCUAGAGACGUUCCAAGUUACAGAUUUAAUUGGAGGUGUUCCGGGUUUUACUCGGUGUAGAUAUCCAGCUCACUCAGUAAUCAUGCUUAGUGAAACAGGGCCCUGGUUCCAGAGUAAUAGACCACAAUUUAUGUUUGCGAAUUAUUAAGUUAUACAGUCAAUGAUGGAGCCAAAACGUCGGCACUGUGUAUCAUCUUGAAACAUAAAAUUGAGGAGAAACUUGGGACGACGUCAAAUCCUGAGACAUUCCCAUGGUUCCAUGUGGGAAACAGGGCUGUGGUUGAAUGGCUGUCUUUGCUGGGCUGAUGGAUACUCUAUGGUAAGACUUAUGUGCAGAGAUGUCAUGGACCCCCCUAAGCUUAACGAGAAGAACUUGUUGAAACAAGUAUGAAAAUGGCUUGAACCCGGCACGAGCCAACAUUUCCGGACAGAUGGAGGGCUGAUGCAUGGAUUCAAUGACGCGUGAAAGUUGAACGUCGCCUGGGAGUCAGAUUCUGUAGUCUUGUUGACCAAGCAUUCGAAGCUGUGUAUAAAAAAUAUAA